rnacentral:rRNA from 1 species
GAUGAACGCUGGCGGCGUGCCUAAUACAUGCAAGUCGAGCGAACGGACGAGAAGCUUGCUUCUCUGAUGUUAGCGGCGGACGGGUGAGUAACACGUGGAUAACCUACCUAUAAGACUGGGAUAACUUCGGGAAACCGGAGCUAAUACCGGAUAAUAUUUUGAACCGCAUGGUUCAAAAGUGAAAGACGGUCUUGCUGUCACUUAUAGAUGGAUCCGCGCUGCAUUAGCUAGUUGGUAAGGUAACGGCUUAGCAAGGCAACGAUGCAUAGCCGACCUGAGAGGGUGAUCGGCCACACUGGAACUGAGACACGGUCCAGACUCCUACGGGAGGCAGCAGUAGGGAAUCUUCCGCAAUGGGCGAAAGCCUGACGGAGCAACGCCGCGUGAGUGAUGAAGGUCUUCGGAUCGUAAAACUCUGUUAUUAGGGAAGAACAUAUGUGUAAGUAACUGUGCACAUCUUGACGGUACCCAAUCAGAAAGCCACGGCUAACUACGUG